rnacentral:rRNA from 1 species
CUGGUGGGCGACUUCGGAAAGGACAUUAAGGAGAUGACCUCUAUUGGCGGUAUGUUAGGCUUCGGCCCGACGUUGCAGCUGACGGGGUGUUGUUUCCGUUCUUUCCUUGAGGUGUACCUGUCGUGUGUGAGGUCGAACUGGACGCUGGUUAUUGUGUAGUAGAGUAUUGCUGCGCUUUGACGCCUUCGGGUAAAGAGGAC